rnacentral:SRP_RNA from 1 species
GCCUUGUGUGGUGGCAUGUGCUUGUAGUCCCAGCUGCUUGGUAGGCUGAGGCUGGAGGAUCGCUUGAGUCCAGCAGUUCUGGGCUGUAGUGUGCUAUGCUAGUCGGGUGUCUGCACUAAGUUCGGCAUCAAUAUGGUGACCUCCUGGGAGCAGGGACCACCAGGUUACCUAAGGAGGGGUGAACUGGCCUAGAUUGGAAACAGAACAGGUCAAAACUCCCAUGCUGAUCAGUGGUGGGAUUGCACCUGUGAAUAGCCACUGCAUUCCAACCUGGCCAACAUAAUGAGAUCCUGCCUCU